CAUGCAUCACGCUGAUCGGGAGCAUCCCAGACAAGGUGGACUGGACACUCCGCCCGUCCCGACGGAUUCCCUGGGCGUCCUGGAGGUGUAUCGAGACUGGGAACUAGCUAGGACUGGUUCGGAGCCAGCUGCAGGAGGACUAAGAUUCACAUCACAAGUGUGAAGACAACCAGAAGCCAGGCAUCUUCAAGUCAGGAAGAAUCCUCACCAGGGACCUAAAUUGGUCUGUGUCUUGAUCUUGGCCCUCCCAGCUGCCAGAACUGCCAAUACUUGGACCUUCCUGCCAGCAAUAUCAAAUAGCAAGAUGCUGAAUGCACCUUCUGUGUGAGCAUUAGGGAUCAGUGGCCGAAGAAGGCAGUCCCUCUCCGCUGAGAAAAUCUCCAUCUUUGAUAUAUUCCCUCAACACACAUUCAAUUGGUGCCUUCUCUCUUGGUUUCUUAAGUUAUUUUUUCAUAUCUAAAAUUUUACAAACAAAUAAAAAUUAAACAAAUCUAAAAUAUUGA